GGAGAGGUCGAGCUGUAAUAAAGAUGGGGAGAGGUCGAGCUGUAAUAAAGAUGGGGAGAGGUCGAGCUGUAAUAAAGAUGGGGAGAGGUCGAGCUGUAAUAAAGAUGGGGAGAGGUCGAGCUGUAAUAAAGAUGGGGAGAGGUCGAGCUGUAAUAAAGAUGGGGAGAGGUCGAGCUGUAAUAAAGAUGGGGAGAGGUCGAGCUGUAAUAAAGAUGGGGAGAGGUCGAGCUGUAAUAAAGAUGGGGAGAGGUCGAGCUGUAAUAAA